rnacentral:misc_RNA from 1 species
GAUGAAGAACGCAACGAAAUGCGAUAAGUAAUGUGAAUUGCAGAAUUCAGUGAAUCAUCGAAUCUUUGAACGCACAUUGCGCCCGCCAGCAUUCUGGCGGGCAUGCCUGUUCGAGCGUCAUUUCAACCCUCGAGCCCCCCCGGGGGCCUCGGUGUUGGGGGACGGCACACCAGCCGCCCCCGAAAUGCAGUGGCGACCCCGCCGCAGCCUCCCCUGCGUAGUAGCACACACCUCGCACCGGAGCGCGGAGGCGGUCACGCCGUAAAACGCCCAACUUUCUUAGAGUUGACCUCGGAUCAGGUAGGAAUACCCGCUGAACUUAAGCAUAUCAAUAAGCGGAGGA